GAAGCAAUCAAGUGACCUUCUGUGCUGCACAGUGAUGUUUUGGUGCUGGGAUUAAAGAAAUGUGCCACCAUACCCAGCCUCAAGACUUUUUUGAAGUAAAAGCAUAUUGCAAGGGCAAACCCAUGGCCAGCCUGUGGAGACCUUGCUGCUUGUGCGGCCCUGGGACACUGGGUCUCAUAAUUGCUGGGAUUCCAGGCAUGCGUCCCAUCAUUCAUUUGUGCAGCACUAGGGACAGAAUCCAGGGCUUCGAGCUUGCGAGGCAAGUGCUCUACACAGCUGAGCCACAUCCAUAGCCCCCCCCCCCCCCCGAGUGAAAGCCCAUCCCCUGGAUCCUGCUGGAAUUCAGGGAAUUCCUGUCCUGCUCAUGGUGUGGAUGGGAAGGUGAUGGAAGGUUCUAUCCUAAGAACUGCAGUCAAUGUAGCAAGGGCUUUGACUGAAGAUUAUAGAAGCUGAAUUUCUCAAUGCUGGGUCUCACACUGGUAAAGACAACAUUCACAAGUAUAAAGUUGGGGACCCUCAGAUCUGAUUCUACAGGAGCUCACCAUCCAUUAGCGUUGUGACUUUAGACCAGUGGCUUGGUCCCUUUGAGUCCCAUCAGUUUCCUUGUCCCUACCCCACUUGGCUUGGAGGAACAAGUGGGUGAUGGUAAUUAAGGCUCACAGCACUGAA
rnacentral:lncRNA from 1 species